GUAGGUGGCAAGCGUUGUCCGGAAUUAUUGGGCGUAAAGCGCGCGCAGGCGGUUCUUUAAGUCUGAUGUGAAAGCCCACGGCUCAACCGUGGAGGGUCAUUGGAAACUGGAGAACUUGAGUACAGAAGAGGAAAGCGGAAUUCCACGUGUAGCGGUGAAAUGCGUAGAGAUGUGGAGGAACACCAGUGGCGAAGGCGGCUUUCUGGUCUGUAACUGACGCUGAGGCGCGAAAGCGUGGGGAGCAAACAGGGAUUAGAUACCCUGGUAGUCCACGCCGUAAACGAUGAGUGCUAAGUGUUAGGGGGGUUUCCCGCCCCCUUAGUGCUGCAGCUAACGCAUUAAGCACUCCGCCUGGGGGAGUACGGCCCGCAAGGCUG
rnacentral:rRNA from 1 species